ACGCUCCCAUAGAGCUCUCGUAUUCUCUAAUAGAGAAUAGCGUAUUCUAUGUGCUCCAAAAUUGUAAACAUAAUGUUACAAAUAUCCUACGUUUAGGAACACGAAUAUUAAAAAUUCUUGUACAGUUUUCAUCUCUAUAUAAAUAUUCUAUGCUUUGAAGGUUAUGUUUCUUUAACAGUGCGGUUUUGAGUUACUACGGAUACUGCAGAAGUAGAAACAUUUAAAAUAAUUGGAAAGUGUCCAUUCUUUCAUUACAAUUAUAACGAAUCAUAAUGGCGUCCACGGUACGAUUUAUAAAGGAUAUUUAUUAUGAUCCUUACAAAUGGUCACUAUGCAAAAGUAUUGGAUUUUUCCUGUUAGGUGUAAAGAUUGCAAUCGAUUGUAAAGGAAUGAUUUUAAUGCCACCAAUGAAUGCCUGAAAUAGAAAAAGAUCAUGAAUAGAAUGCAUUUAAAUUUGGUAUAUUGUAUAGGUUUGUGUCCACAUUUUGUUAUAUCGAUGUGACAUAUUAAUUAUAAAAUAAUUUUAAGAAACAAAACUCGUUUGAUGUAUACAUACGUAUAUUUCCCCCAUUACAUAUAUGUUUCAUUUCUGUAUUUGUACAUACAAUGACUACUACGUUGAAUUCGAUAUACUGUAUAGCAUAGCUGUAAAUAUUAUUGAAAGUAUAUACAGCAUGUAGAUAUUUUAUACAUCGCUUUCGCUAAUUGUAGUUGUUUUUAUUAAUAAUUAUAUCCACAAAUGCACAGAUUCAGGAUAAAAACAUUCAGUGUUAUUAAAUACUUGAUAAAAACACAAGGUAAAAGUAAUAGAUGACAAAAUAAAUAAAAUAAAGUAA